rnacentral:lncRNA from 1 species
CAAAUUUAGCUUAUUAUCAUCAUGUUAUCUGACCCAGGGAUGUACUGUAGUUGGUAGCUUUAAUUCAGGCUCACAAGAGUCUUUGAUCUGUCUAUCUAUGUAGAAGAAAACAAACCAUGGGAAUGUAGAACUCCUAGCCAAGUGCUCCUAACGCAAGAAUACGAAGAUGAAACAUGUGCGGAGCUGAGCUGAUAGUGCAAGGACACUCGUACUAGCGUUGGAGAUCCUGUCGACUUGUUCCCUUGUCACAGAGAAUGGAAUGCAGAUGCAGAACUGCGUCAUCAGGUCGUCACCCGAGCGGACGGCCCCGCAGAUCGAAGCUCCCUUUGUAUGAUCCGUGGGCUCCCCUCUCCGGGGAUUAUUAGGUACCCCCACCUCUACGUGUGCUGCUGCCGCCAUGCCACCACCAGCACCACGCCACCACUUCAUCUGCUAGCUAGCUCAAGUGGUGCAUGGACUUUGCCCAGUCUUACAUGGACAUGGCCUGCCAUAAAGAGACACGGCAUGCACAAAAACUGUUCCUAAAGAGAAUGGCUAGAUAGAGAGCAAGAAAAGGCAGGAUAAAAGUGCAACGAGUAGUGUGUGCAUGCAUGAAUGUGUGCACCAUGGAAUGAUUGACUAUCAUCUCUACCCUUUUCUCCUCCUUUUAUAUGAGGCCACAGAUUGAGCUGUUAGGAUACUAGUUACCUGGAAGAUUCUGAUCAUCAGGAGGGUUGUUGAGCUUGUAUGUUGUAGACCUGCACCUGCAUGCACCAAGAUAAGCAUCUCACCAAAUAUUAGGGACUGGUAGUGGUUAGCAACUUAGCAUAUCAUCUCAAGAGAUUAACAUCUUAUCCACACUGCAUCAACACAAACUAUUCCUUCUCUGUCAGCUGACACAUAAGCCACACUCUUGCAUAGUCAGAUGUGUCUCUUACCGAUUGGGCUACAGCUUACUUAGCAGGGUGGUAUUUUACCCAAAUACUCAACAGCGUAGCGUCGCCGUCAUAGAUAGUGCCAUGGAUCAUUGUCAUAACAGUGAUGUCUGCCAAAUUAUUUCUGUCUCUUGCAAACCGAGCUAGCACAAGUAACUUGAAAUGAUUGAUGUGUUUCUUUUCUGAUGAAGCAGUUCGCAAACAUGAGCACAAAAUAGAUGGGCGAAAAGGAUGCAGUGCAGGAGGAGCUUGAGUGGCUUCAUCUCCAAGUGAUGCGCUUUGUACUUUGCCACAACUCCACUGAACUCCCUGCUGCAACUUGCUGGCCUGGGGGAUUAUUAUGACGAUGGUCAAGAUGUAUGUAUAAAGGAGCAUGGUUGGACAAGGCUGACGAUUGCAUGACAUGAGGAGGAGGAAUGCACCCAUGCCAGACAAAAUUUAUACAGGUGAAGGCACUCACGAGACCCACUCCGCUAUUGGGGACGCAGGACGCUUCCUAGCCCAUCUUGUGCUGGUAAUUUCAGAACACGAUUGAUGGUGCAUGCCCAGUUGUGUUGGACCUGACCUUUGCUUCACAUAUCACCCAGUGAGAAGUUAAGCUGUCGUGAUAUGGGCAAAGAAAUAUAGGCAAGUCUAGGUCUCUAGGAUAGCCUUUACACACCCAAACAAACGAUCUAACAAAUCAAACUCAAAAACUUUUUCCUUAAUUGUUCUAACACAAGUUAGGGGGUUCUUUUCAUAACUAGUAGUUCACUUCAGGUAAAACACCUGCAGUGACAUGAACCGACACGAGUAAUGUUUGCUAUACUAACUAUUAAAACCUGAAGAAUAUGAAACGUCUGGUAUUGCCUUCGAAAAUAGAAGUAACAAACAAAAUUAUCUUGUGUUUACAAUUAUUUGAAAAUAUCCCUGAAAUAUUGGGGCUGGGGAAUAUAGUACGCACUUCGGCUAUAAAGAUCACAAGCAUGCAUAUCAGCAGUCAAAACCAAAUCAAAUUACUAUUUGUUGGUCCAAACAAAUUCAAGGUGCUAUUUGAUGCAUGAUUGCUUGAUAUCUACACGAUAUCCAACACACGUCAAAUAAGAGAGAAAGUCAAAACUUCGGUCUAAUCAGCACAAUAAUUUAAUGGCAAGAGAUGGGGUUUCGCUUACUUCUGGUAUCAGAUAAUUGUUGAUUCUGUCGUCCCACCUAGCUCGUCAUUCACUUCUCCUGAUCUCAGAUAUGGAUGGGCAUAUGUGAGGUUUGAGAAAACUCCGGUCACAUGAUAUUACGCUAUAUUGACAGUUCUCUUGGGCAGACAUGGUAUUUUGAAGUGUACCUAAAGUAGCACACAAGCAUCAUGUUAGAUUAUGAUGCAAGAGUCUGCUACUGAAACUUUGGAUGGAUGAGAUGGUUAUGCAAUGUAAGAUAUCCAAGCGGAGUCAACGAAGAUCAAAUACAUCCGCAAAAGGCUAUCCUAAAUUCCUAAUUAAGGACACCCAGACCAGCAUCAUUGCUAGGCAAGAAACUGUAUGUCUUGAUCUCCGGCUUUGUUAUAAAAUAUGUAGAGCAUGAUGAGGCACCAUGCAUGCAUGCAUUGAUGGACUCUGUUAGUUAGUAACGAUUCAUCUAAGAAGUAGAGAAAUUUGCAGUAACUCUGAACAUCAAAUAUAUAGGAGAUACUCCUCUGUCCAAAUCCAACAUUAGUGUUUGCAUAGCAUCAUUAGCUCCCUCCAUAUAAAAAAUGGUGAGGACAAGGAAGCAUGGCACUUAAGUUGGCAGGCUUCUCAAAGCAACCAUGCUGCAGCCGCCCUCAAAACCUUUCAACACUCCUUGAAUUGCACGUCUCUCCCUCUCCCUCCCUUUCUCUACAUACAAAUACACACACGCAUACAACCCCUAUAAAUACUACUAAGAAACCACGUGAAGCAAGCACCCGUGCUCUCAUCUUCCUUCCUCACAGCCUUCCAUCUUCCUCUACUCUAUCUACUCCAGCAUAUAUGGGUGGAUCUACUAACCUUCCUCCUGGUUUCCACUUCUUCCCCUCCGACGAAGAACUCGUCAUCCAUUUCCUCCGGCGCAAGGCGGCUCUCCUCCCAUGCCGACCUGACAUCGUCCCUACACUGCCUCAGAAUCGCUACGAUCCAUGGGAGCUGAAUGGUAUGUACCUAAUACUUUCUUUCACAAACCUUUGUGCAUAUCACAAGUAAUGUCUAGUCCUGAUUCUGACAACUCUUUCAAGGCAAAGCACUUCAAGCAGGGAACCAGUGGUACUUCUUUAGCCAAGCAACACAGAGUAGGGCCUCACGAAAUGGGUGCUGGAAUCCCGUCGGUGCCGAUGAGGCAGUAAGUAGUGGCGGCUCUCAUGUCGGCCUGAAGAAGACACUCGUCUUCUCCAUUGGGGAGCCCUUUCAGGCGACCAAAACCAACUGGGUUAUGCAUGAGUACCACUUACUUGACGGGAAUGUGGGUGCCAGCACUUCAGGUAGUUCACGCAAGCGGUCUCACAAGAAGAAAGGCCAACCAGACAAAGUGAGUGCUGCAUACAUGUUAUUGCACCUAACAUUUUCUUAAACUCUGCAUUUAUAGCAUUAUCAUAUACGCAUGACAAACAUGUCCAACAUGCAUGGAUGAUCAUCACAGGAAUGCAGCAAUUGGGUGGUGUGUCGGGUGUUCGAGUCGAGCUACGAUUCGCAAGUGACCUUCCACGAGGAGGACAUGGAGCUUUCAUGCUUAGACGAGGUGUUCCUAUCCCUGGAUGACUAUGAUGAAGUCAGUUUGCCGAAGAAUUAGAACCUUUGCUAGCACAGUUGAGAGAAUGGGUUUUGUGCCUACCAUGCCAUCUGAUCAUGAUGAUACUCAUAAGAGAAACAUCUUUCUUAAUGAUCAAAUGAUCUGGUAGGUAUUAAACCUAAUUCACUCCAUCUAGACCAGAGAUGUAAUUAUUCUCCUCCAAGAAGGUGUGUGAAACAAAUUUAAUAUGUUUUGACUACUAUGGAAUAUAAGUGUGUAAUGGCCUAAUGGCCACUCUUUCAACUAGCAAUUAAUCAAGCAUUUGAUGGUUUCUCCUAAAUAGCAAAGGGCAUGUCCUGAAUGAUCAUUGUAUGAAGUCAACAGUGAGCGCCAUGAGGUGGCUUGUGGGGGUUAGGACUUGGGACUAGUUUUGGAGCGAUGCAGGCAAUGCUUGUGCAUGCCGACUUCUCCUCCAACUCAUUGUGUUCCUAUGUGUUGUGAACAAUGUUAUUGUGCCCACAAAGCAAAGGCCAAAUGGAGUCAGUCAGAUGCUUUUAGAUCACAAGGAUAAAAAGAAAGAGCAUGGUUGGAACUUGUGCAAGCAUAUUGCUAUUGAUGUCAUCAAUGAGAUAAGCUCCAAAAGGUAAUAAUGUAUAUGUGUGUCCAUUCCAGACAGAAAGUGUGCAUGUGUGGGGAAGUGGUACCACCAUGCACUGGUAAGACUUGCCAAACCAGUUACCUGAAAAUCAGGUAACCACUGAAGUUUCUAAACUUGUUUAGUUAUUUGCAGUGCAUACUGCAUAGUGCACUCGCUUUAGAUCACUAAUCAUGGAUAGCAACUUUUUAGUAACUUCUUUUAGUACUAAAUGGGUUGUUGACUUCUUAAUCCAACCCUAGAAAUGCGAUGAUAUAAUUCUGUCUGUCCUAAGAGAAGUUGGUAGUGCCUCCAUCAAUAGUUUUAGCAUGCUUGUCGUUACUUUUCAUGGCUUGCAAUGCAUGCUUACAUCAUAAAAAUGUGAAACAAAAAACAUAUAUAAAGAAAGAGAAAAACUAAACUAACUCUAAUUAUGUUAGUGGUCUUCAUGUGUUAUCAUUUGAGUAGUUCGUCUAAUGACUUUCCUAUUGAUGCGAUACUGGAAGAGAGACUGUGAAGUUCACAUUCCAACAUUAGCAGACAAAUGGAAUAAAGUAAAAAUAUAUGUUUUAAGUAAUUUAUGUACAUUCUUUGAAAUCAGUGUUGAGUGUGGUCAUGAUAUUACUCAGGCCAAAUGCGACAAGACAACCUAUUAUUUACAGAAAAGAUCCAUUAAUCUGAGCAGUAAUAGGAAUACAUGUCUUGAUAUAAAUGCACCGAGACAGUAACUGAAACAAUCGCAAGUCCGGAACUAAUCCUAAUUGAGCAACAUCUAGUGAGAAAUAGAUAACACCGUACACCAAAUAGUCCUCCUGGACUCCCUAAAAGGAGAAACAGUAUGCUGACCCGCUUUCCAAGGUCAAGCCUUAUGAGUGAAAAUUUGAGAUGUAAAAAUCAGAUAGUAGACUUUUCAAGGUCAGGCCUUUUGAGUGAAACAUUGAGAUGUAAACAUCUGAUGCUAGAACAUGAAAGUCCAUUGGCAUUUCUAACAAAUUAAACCUGAAGUAGUUUUCCUGAAGGUCCUACUUUGUAUCCUUUCCUAGUAAAAGUAACACUAAACAUGCAACACAGUUAGGAGUGUCAUAAAUAAAUUUAAUCCCACUAGUAAAUCUAAAAUUCUUUGCUAGAGAAUUUCCAAAUUAUUAGUAACCCUCCUACAUUGCCAAUUUACUUUGUCGAAGUGGCAAUACAGGGUACAUGAAAUGAAUCAGAGGUUCUAAAAUGAGACAGGAACAGAAGAGUUCUUGUAGAUUAUAUACAACAACAAAUCAACAGGGCCCCCUCUGCAUCGCUAUGUCUGGCACAUAAUAUUUAGAAGGCCAAAAAUGUUUGCUUUACUGAGUUUUAAAAUGUUAACUAUAUAUCAUGUUCCAUAUGCUAUUGUAUUCUUAAAUUACUCAAAAGAAAUAGGAAAAAGUCUACUAUGUCACUUAUUUCGCGCACUAGCUAUGUUUAGUAGCUUUGAGCCCCCAUUGAUCUCCACAUAGUUGCAUUAACUUCUGUAAAAAGGUUGCAUAAUGUAGUGCACAUCAGCACAUGCUUUACCAUGUAACCGUUAACCAUUACCCCAGCUGAGUGCGCAUAUAGCUUAUCAUGGAAGCCAUUUCCUUAAACGAGCAAAGCACUCAUGGAAAAGGUUGCUAGCAAAGCCAUUUCAAACGGAGAUUAGGCGGGUCAGAAACCAAACAUGUAGAUAAUACAUUACCUACUACAAGGGACAAAGCAAUUGAGAACUUUACAGAUUUCUGUUACUUUCAACAAGUACUUGUUGUGUCCCUCAGGUGAUGACACGAAGUUACGCAUCAACAACUAGGUGAAACUUCCUAUGGGGUCCAAUGACAUGCGUGUGCUUCUCUUCUGCUGGACACCAAUUAUGUCAUGAUAGAGAUGAACUCGUCGAUAAGUGUGGCCAGUGGCCAGGUCUGUUUCAAUCCUGCCAAACUCAUUAUGUUAGAUGGCAUCAAAGCAACAUAGGACCACUAGAAGAACAGGGGCAUUUAAUCUUAACGGGCCAACUCAGGUUAUACAGUUGACAUGACAGAGGAUUAGGAUCAUCAGUAAUCUGACUAGCACUUUACACCAACUGUGGUGCCAUCUCAAUCUUGGCCCUUUCUCCAGGACCACACCUCACUGACGGUUCGGCAUGAAACGGAUAACAGGACAGAACAUCUGAAACGGUACAUCUAGCUAGAGGUUUGUGCCUUUGAGCACGCUUACAUUUAGCGAGAACACGCUUCACUUCACCUGCUCAAUAAAGUGACAACCCACCAGCAGAAACAGAAGCAGAAUGCUAGGUGCAGACCAGGUUGGGUAACUGAAGAACAGAACAGCAAGCAGAGAAAUGCCAUCUUUGAGUAUAGAAAAAUCAAGGCAUUCAGUCAGUUCUGCAAUCCUCUGAAGCCGCUGCAACUGACAGGAAUAGAAGCGUGUGAUAACCAUGAUUUCCAGAAUGAUCGGUACCAAACCAAAUUGAUCGCAAAAGUUUGAACUAAACCCUAAAUUUGUGAACCCACGCCCCAGCGAUUAUUUUUCCUUUUCAAAAUCCCCCCCUCGACUCUCCCCAGAUCGUCCCCCAGCAUAGCAUCCGACAUCACAGCGAACCGCAAUUUGAGGUGAGCAGACCUCACAGCCACAGGGAGCGCAGGUGUGUGCGCGCGCGCGCAAUCUGUUUGACGAAAAUACUAGGCACCGCCCACAAAAACAAUCUGCGUGCGGUUAAGCGGGAUGAGGUGAGUGGUCUUGGGGAGAGCACCUGGUGGUUCGUCGGAAGCAGACCUCGCCGGAGUAAUGUCCACAUCCACCGCCACCCCCGCCGAC